GCAAGCUGUGUAUACCGGAACAACGGUCCUGGCGAUGACGAACAGCGCAAUGAAUCCGGUUUUGUAUGCCCUGUUUAACCGGAAUUUCCGCUGUGCAUUCAGGAAUUUAUACAGGAAAUUCUUGAAUAAUCAAGUGCUACCGCUGCCCGACGCGUUUUCCAUCGCGGGGACUCAAGACGGAGUCACCAGAGGGCGACCAACCCGUUUGAUGACAUUGAGUAGCCUGGUACCAAAAAGGAUGAG